rnacentral:tRNA from 1 species
GCCUCCGUGCGCAGUCGGCUAGCGCGUUUUGAUCAUAACUGAAAGGUUGGUGGUUCCAGCCCACCGGGGGCG